rnacentral:rRNA from 1 species
UGAGGAAUAUUGGACAAUGGAUGGAAAUCUGAUCCAGCCAUGCCGCGUGCAGGAAGACGGCCCUAUGGGUUGUAAACUGCUUUUAUAUGGGAGCAAUAAGGUCUACGAGUAGACCGAUGAGAGUACCAUAUGAAUAAGCAUCGGCUAACUCCGUGCCAGCAGCCGCGGUAAUACGGAGGAUGCGAGCGUUAUCCGGAUUUAUUGGGUUUAAAGGGUGCGUAGGCGGCCUUGUAAGUCAGCGGUGAAAUUUUGCAGCUUAACUGUAAAAGUGCCAUCGAUACUGGUUUUCUUGAGUGUGGAUGAAGUAGGCGGAAUUUGUGGUGUAGCGGUGAAAUGCAUAGAUAUCACGAGGAACUCCGAUUGCGAAGGCAGCUUACUAAGCUACUACUGACGCUCAGGCACGAAGGCGUGGGGAUCAAACAGG